UGGACUCGUAUCAAGGAAACAGUGUCU
rnacentral:piRNA from 1 species